rnacentral:rRNA from 1 species
UAGGGAAUCUUCGGCAAUGGACGAAAGUCUGACCGAGCAACGCCGCGUGAGUGAAGAAGGUUUUCGGAUCGUAAAACUCUGUUGUUAGAGAAGAACAAGGACGUUAGUAACUGAACGUCCCCUGACGGUAUCUAACCAGAAAGCCACGGCUAACUACGUGCCAGCAGCCGCGGUAAUACGUAGGUGGCAAGCGUUGUCCGGAUUUAUUGGGCGUAAAGCGAGCGCAGGCGGUUUCUUAAGUCUGAUGUGAAAGCCCCCGGCUCAACCGGGGAGGGUCAUUGGAAACUGGGAGACUUGAGUGCAGAAGAAGAGAGUAGAAUUCCAUGUGUAGCGGUGAAAUGCGUAGAUAUAUGGAGGAACACCAGUGGCGAAGGCGGCUCUCUGGUCUGUAACUGACGCUGAGGCUCGAAAGCGUGGGGAGCAAACAGU